AUACUUUACCUGGCGGGGAGAUACCAUGAUCACGAAGGGGUUUUCCCAGGGCGAGGCUUAUCCAUUGCACUCCGGAUGUGCUGACCCCUGCGAUUUCCCCAAUGUGGAAACUCGACUGCAUAAUUUGGUGGUAGUGGGGGACUGCGUUCGCGCUUUCCCCUG
rnacentral:snRNA from 1 species